rnacentral:lncRNA from 1 species
AAAAAAGCUGCAGAUCCGUCCAGGUUCACCAACAGAGGAGGAAACCUGCUGAAGGAGGAGAAACUACGCCGUCAGCUGCAGAAGAAUCUGCCAAAGCUGGAGAAGAAGCUGAAGGUCCAGAUCCAGUCCUGGGAGAGCGAGCAGCACUGCAGCUUCCUGGUCAAUGGACAGAAGUUCAUGCAGUUUGUGGAGGAGCAGUGGGAGCUGCACCGCGCCCAGAAGGAGAAGGAGAGACUGGAGCGGCUCUGGAAGAAGAGCCAGCAGCUGGAGGAGGACAUGCGCUACGGCACUACAGUACAAUCUCCAAUCCAACGCAGGUUCCUUGGCCAGACUACCCCCAAAGGAGCUAAACAAAUGGUGACUCUGGUUUCUGUCUGCCUGUCGUGGAUCCCUUUCAGAGGUACCGUCUCAUGUCUGCAUUAACCGGUCCACUCUGUCUCCAGUUCAGUGCCACCUCCAGCACUUCCUGUAGCAGCAGCCAGCGCCUCCUCUUCAGUGGGUGUCGCUCUCCUGGGCCCAUCCCCACUCUCUGGGCUACAAAGGCUCCCACGGUGCAGACCCUAGGUGGAUUUAAGCCCCCACACCCAGGAUUUGGUGGAUACAACAAGGAGAACAAAGGCCAGCCUAAUGGGACUCCCCCCUUCACGCAGCGUAACGCCAGCAUGGCUUCUAUUGCCAGCACAUAUUCUGAGUUUGUGAAGGACUUGAAGAGCACCGAGCCACUAAAGUCCAGGUGUGUUCUGAGAGCUGCUAGCAUCUAACUAACCUAAGUACUAGCUCAGAAUAUCUUUGAUUAAACCAAACUAACUUUACUUAUUAAAUCAAGACAAAACCUACUGAAGACAACAUCAGGCCUCAUCUUUGAGAGACAAUGCAUUGAUGUUUGUUCAUGUGUUUAAACAUGUUUUUGUGACGACCACUUUCUCAUACACAACUUAUUGUAUGUAUGAGUACCCUAGAACAGUGUUUUUGUACCGUUGUACCGUGGGAAAUGACCCAUUCACAGGCCCUGAU